rnacentral:rRNA from 1 species
AUUGCCCCAGUAACGGCGAGUGAAGCGGCAACAGCUCAGAUUUGGAAUCUGGCCCCCAGGGCCCGAGUUGUAAUCUGGAGAGGAUGCUUCUGGCGCGGCGCCUUCCGAGUUCCCUGGAACGGGACGCCGGAGAGGGUGAGAGCCCCGUACGGUUGGACGCCUAGCCUUUGUGAAGCUCCUUCGACGAGUCGAGUAGUUUGGGAAUGCUGCUCAAAAUGGGAGGUAAAUUUCUUCUAAAGCUAAAUACCGGCCAGAGACCGAUAGCGCACAAGUAGAGUGAUCGAAAGAUGAAAAGCACUUUGAAAAGAGGGUCAAACAGUACGUGAAAUUGUUGAAAGGGAAGCGCCCGUGGCCAGACUUGUGCCCCGCGGACCACCCGGCGCCCUCAGCGCCGGUGCACUCCGCGGGGCGCAGGCCAGCAUCGGUUUUCCUAGGGGGAUAAAGGCGGCGGGAACGUGGCUCCUUCGGGAGUGUUAUAGCCCGUCGUGCCAUGCCCCUGGGGGGACCGAGGACCGCGCUUCGGCAAGGAUGCUGGCGUAAUGGCCACCGGCGACCCGUCUUGAAACACGGACCAAGGAGUCAAGCAUUGGGGCGAGUGUCUGGGUGCCAAACCCGCACGCGAAAUGAAAGUGAACGCAGGUGAGAGCUUCGGCGCAUCAUCGACCGAUCCUGAUGUUCUCGGAUGGAUUUGAGUAAGAGCCUUACCGCUUGGACCCGAAAGAUGGUGAACUAUGCCUGUAUAGGGUGAAGCCAGAGGAAACUCUGGUGGAGGCUCGCAGCGGUUCUGACGUGCAAAUCGAUCGUCAAAUAUGGGCAUGGGGGCGAAAGACUAAUCGAACCAUCUAGUAGCUGGUUACCGCCGA